rnacentral:rRNA from 1 species
AUGGACCGACGUAAAGCAUGCCGUUUGACACGGUCGGCCUCGCGAACCAACCUACACAUGCUGUUUGACACCGUUGGCCUCGCCGUACUCAGCCAGGUUGCCAUGGAAAGGCGUCACGCGUCAGGAGUUCCAUAUGAACUGCUUGACUGUGAGUGUGGGCAUUGGUACCUCAGAGAAGGGCUCCACUCUUUCAGAGCUAAGUAUUUUUUACCUACAAAAAGAUCCAUGUCUGCACUACUAUAUAUUUGGUUUAACUCAUAUUGCAAGUAUGCAUCUAUAUAUGUUCCCAAACGAGUGAACCCCUUCCAAUGUCAAGAUUACGCAUGUCUUUCACAUUGCCGCUUCCCAUUGCCCAUUGGUAUCUGCCUCGGAUGGCUUCACCAUUGCCAAAGCUAUUGUAGUCGUGCACAACAUACUUCACUCAACUCUUCGUAG